ACGCUGACAGAAUGCUUAACACAUGCAAGUCAACUUGAAUUUGGGUUUUUAACUUAGAUUUGGGUGGCGGACGGGUGAGUAACGCGUAAAGAACUUGCCUCACAGCUAGGGACAACAUUUAGAAAUGAAUGCUAAUACCUGAUAUUAUGAUUUUAAGGCAUCUUAGAAUUAUGAAAGCUAUAAGCACUGUGAGAGAGCUUUGCGUCCCAUUAGCUAGUUGGAGAGGUAACAGCUCACCAAGGCGAUGAUGGGUAGCCGGCCUGAGAGGGUGAACGGCCACAAGGGGACUGAGACACGGCCCUUACUCCUACGGGAGGCAGCAGUGGGGAAUAUUGGACAAUGGACCGAGAGUCUGAUCCAGCAAUUCUGUGUGCACGAUGAAGUUUUUCGGAAUGUAAAGUGCUUUCAGUUGGGAAGAAAAAAAUGACGGUGCCAACAGAAGAAGUGACGGCUAAAUACGUGCCAGCAGCCGCGGUAAUACGUAUGUCACGAGCGUUAUCCGGAUUUAUUGGGCGUAAAGCGCGUCUAGGUGGUUAUGUAAGUCUGAUGUGAAAAUGCAGGGCUCAACUCUGUAUUGCGUUGGAAACUGUAUAACUAGAGUACUGGAGAGGUAAGCGGAACUACAAGUGUAGAGGUGAAAUUCGUAGAUAUUUGUAGGAAUGCCGAUGGGGAAGCCAGCUUACUGGACAGAUA
rnacentral:rRNA from 1 species